GGGAAUGUGGCUCAGUGGUAGAGUACUUGCCUAGCAUGCAUGAAGCCCUGGGUUUGAUUCCUCAGUACCA
rnacentral:tRNA from 1 species